rnacentral:rRNA from 1 species
CAGUAGCCGCGGUAAAACGUAGGGUGCGAGCGUUAAUCGGAAUUACUGGGCGUAAAGCGUGCGCAGGCGGUUUUGUAAGACAGGCGUGAAAUCCCCGGGCUCAACCUGGGAAUGGCGCUUGUGACUGCAAAGCUAGAGUGCGGCAGAGGGGGAUGGAAUUCCGCGUGUAGCAGUGAAAUGCGUAGAUAUGCGGAGGAGCACCGAUGGCGAAGGCAAUCCCCUGGGCCUGCACUGACGCUCAUGCACGAAAGCGUGGGGAGCAAACAGGAUUAGAUACCCCCGUAGUCCCUGUCUCUUAUAA